CCUACGGGAGGCAGCAGUGAGGAAUAUUGGUCAAUGGGCGAGAGCCUGAACGAGCAAAGUCGCGUGAGGGAGUACUGCCCUAUGGGUUGUAAACCUCUUUUAUCGGGGAGCAAAACCCGGAGGUGUAAGGCAGUGCGAGUAACCGUAGAAAACGCAUCGGCUAACUCCGUGCCAGCAGCCGCGGUAAUACGGAGGAUGAGAUCGUUAUCCGGAUUUAUUGGGUGUAAAGGGUGCGCAGGCGGAUUGUUAAGUCAGCGGUGAAAUCGUGGGGUUCAACCCCAUCCAGCCGUUGAAACUGGGGAUCUAGAGUGUGCGAGAGGUAGGCGGAAUGCGAGGUGUAGCGGUGAAAUGCAUAGAUAUCACGCAGAACCCCGGUUGCGAAGGCAGCAUACCGGUGCACAACUGACGCUCAGGCACGAAAGCGUGGGUAUCGAACAGGAUUAGAUACCCUUGUAGUC
rnacentral:rRNA from 1 species